rnacentral:lncRNA from 1 species
GUAGCCUUUAGGGAUGUUCCCUGAAAAUCCCAGCCCUGCUUUGGCUCCCAUGCAGAGCUCAUUAGAAAGCAUUGCAGGUGCCCAGACAUUGGAAUUAAGCAGCCAAGGUGCUUCAAAGCAAGAAGUAGUCAAAGGAAAAACCAGUUUGUGCCAUGCCCAUCCAUCCAGCUUUGGGCUAGUCAUGAUUUCAUUACUCAGUAGCUGUGGGCUAACCUGUUCAUGCAUUUCUGACCUGGAGGCAGCAGGUGUAGGAGAGAAACAGCUUGCAUUCCAGACAGGAGAAAACAAAACCAACUAUGAAAAACAAAACCACAAAACUCAACAAGGAAUAUAUUUGAAAAUAACUCAGAUGAAGAUGAAGGAAAAAUCUCCAGGACAAUUUUUAAAAAUAAUAAACCAACAAUCAUACAAUUGACAUACAUACUUUCUUCAUUUACUGUCCAUAUAUAUGGUUCUCCAGACUCAUAAUACCUUUCUGUGGAUAAGACUUCUCUAGAAAAACCAAUAAAUUUGGGGUUGCUAGAGUUUCA